rnacentral:rRNA from 1 species
GAUGAACGCUGGCGGCGUGCCUAACACAUGCAAGUCGAACGGAGCUGUCGGAGCUUGCUUUGACAGCUUAGUGGCGAACGGGUGAGUAACGCGUGAGCAACCUGCCCUUGAAGGGGGAUAACAUCGGGAAACCGAUGCUAAUACCGCAUAAAAUAUGCAGAUGGCAUCAUUGGCAUAUCAAAGGAGAAAUCCGCUCAAGGAUGGGCUCGCGUCUGAUUAGAUAGUUGGUGAGGUAACGGCCCACCAAGUCGACGAUCAGUAGCCGGACUGAGAGGUUGACCGGCCACAUUGGGACUGAGACACGGCCCAGACUCCUACGGGAGGCAGCAGUGGGGAAUAUUGGGCAAUGGGGGGAACCCUGACCCAGCAACGCCGCGUGAAGGAAGAAGGCCUUCGGGUUGUAAACUUCUUUGACAGGGGAAGAAGGAAGUGACGGUACCCUGAGAACAAGCUCCGGCUAACUACGUG